CUCCUACGGGAGGCAGCAGUGGGGAAUUCGGACAAUGCGGGCAAGCCUGAUCCAGCAAUGCCGCGUGAGUGAUGAUAGGCCUUCGGGUUGUAUAGCUCUUUUGUCAGUGAAGAUACGGCGGGCUCUAAUACAGCUCGCUAAUGACGGUACCUGAGACAAUAGCACCGGCUAACAACGUGCCAGCAGCCGCGGUAAUAC
rnacentral:rRNA from 1 species